CGUUUAGAACCGAGUCGGGUCACAAUUAAAGUGUUCGUUAUAUGAGUGAUCAUGAUGGUGUUACUAUACUGAGCUUUUCCUCAUAUCUUUGCCAAUU